GAUGAACGCUGGCGGCGUGCCUAAUAUAUGUAAGUCCAGCGAACAGACGAGGAGCUUGCUCCUCUGACGUUAGCGGCGGACGGGUGAGUAACACGUGGAUAACCUACCUAUAAGACUGGGAUAACUUCGGGAAACCGGAGCUAAAACCGGAUAAUAUAUUGAACCGCAUGGUUCAAUAGUGAAAGACGGUUUUGCUGUCACUUAUAGAUGGAUCCGCGCCGCAUUAGCUAGUUGGUAAGGUAACGGCUUACCAAGGCGACGAUGCGUAGCCGACCUGAGAGGGUGAUCGGCCACACUGGAACUGAGACACGGUCCAGACUCCUACGGGAGGCAGCAGUAGGGAAGCUUCCGCAAUGGGCGAGAGCCUGACGGAGCAACACCGCGGGAGUGAAGAAAGACUGCGAGUCGUAAAACGCUGUUAUAAGAGAAGAACAAAUGUGUAAGUAACGAUGGUCGUCGAGACGGUACCUAGACAGAAUGCCACGGCUAACUACAUG
rnacentral:rRNA from 1 species